rnacentral:piRNA from 1 species
UUUGUUUCCCACGUAAACACC